AUCGAGCUGAGGAGUCUGAAAUGGGACGAAACGCGCGUCCUGGAU
rnacentral:hammerhead_ribozyme from 1 species